rnacentral:rRNA from 1 species
UACGUAGGGUGCGAGCGUUAAUCGGAAUUACGGGGCGUAAAGCGUGCGCAGGCGGUCUGCUAAGACAGGUGUGAAAUCCCUGGGCUCAACCUAGGAAUUGCGCUUGUGACUGGCGGGCUAGAGUGCGGUAGAGGGGGGUGGAAUUCCUGGUGUAGCAGUGAAAUGCGUAGAGAUCAGGAGGAACACCGAUGGCGAAGGCAGCCCCCUGGGCCUGUACUUACGCUCAGGCACGAAAGCGUGGGGAGCAAACAGG